GAAACCGUUCAGGGGUAAACCUGAGAAACCCAAAAGAUCGAAUGGGGAGAUUCAUCGGCGACGAAAGCCGUCUCCCGUUGGUGUGCGAUACCCCGAAUGGGCCCUCGUGGUUCCAAUACGAGGGUACGCCGUCAACGGCGAACGAUCGGCAACGUAGUCGUGCACUUCUCCCUUAGUAGAACGUCGCGACCCGUUGUGUGUCGGUCUACGGCCUGGACUAUCGCCUGUGGCGGCACCUUCGUGUGCUCGCUGCAGAGGUCCGGUCGCCUGGCCGGCUGCACGACGGUACUCUGACGGUAUCGGGCCGCAACCAAUCCAUUGUAAAUGUAUGUGCGUCAGGCUCGUCGCAAGCUCGGACAGUUACCCGGAGUGUGCGGACUUAGUGCCCUCCCCGGGUCUGGCCAGCUGUUGGCAGACGAUGUCCUUGGACUGGCCAAGCUUCGAAUUACCGGUCAGCGACGCUACUGCUUUGGGUACUCUCAGGACCCGUCUUGAAACACGGACCAAGGAGUCUAACAUGUGCGCGAGUCAUUGGGAUAUGAAAACCUAAAGGCGUAAUGAAAGUGAAGGUCGUCCUUAGCGUCGACCAAGGGAGGAUGGGCCGAAUACGUCCCGGCCCCGCACUCCCGGGGCGUCUCGUUCUCAUUGCGAGAAGAGGCGCACCCAGAGCGUACACGUUGGGACCCGAAAGAUGGUGAACUAUGCCUGGUCAGGACGAAGUCAGGGGAAACCCUGAUGGAGGUCCGUAGCGAUUCUGACGUGCAAAUCGAUCGUCGGAACUGGGUAUAGGGGCGAAAGACUAAUCGAACCAUCUAGUAGCUGGUUCCCUCCGAAGUUUCCCUCAGGAUAGCUGGCACUCGCUCGUUCCUCCGUGAACGUGUGUGAGUUUCAUCUGGUAAAGCGAAUGAUUAGAGGCCUUGGGGCCGAAACGACCUCAACCUAUUCUCAAACUUUAAAUGGGUGAGAUCUCUGGCUUGCUUGGAUCAUGAAGCCAAGAGAUUUUGAAUCAGAGUGCCAAGUGGGCCAAUUUUGGUAAGCAGAACUGGCGCUGUGGGAUGAACCAAACGUAGAGUUAAGGCGCCUAAGUCGACGCUCAUGGGAUACCAUGAAAGGCGUUGGUUGCUUAAGACAGCAGGACGGUGGCCAUGGAAGUCGGAA
rnacentral:rRNA from 1 species